UAGUCCACGCCGUAAACGAUGGAUACUAGCUGUUCGGUCGUAAGACUGAGUGGCUAAGCGAAAGUGAUAAGUAUCCCACCUGGGGAGUACGUUCGCAAGAAUGAAACUCAAAGGAAUUGACGGGGGCCCGCACAAGCGGUGGAGCAUGUGGUUUAAUUCGAUGAUACGCGAGGAACCUUACCAGGGCUUAAAUGUAGUCUGACAGCUUUAGAAAUAGAGUUUUCUUCGGACAGAUUACAAGGUGCUGCAUGGUUGUCGUCAGCUCGUGCCGUGAGGUGUCAGGUUAAGUCCUAUAACGAGCGCAACCCCUGUUGUUAGUUGCCAGCGAGUAAUGUCGGGAACUCUAACAAGACUGCCAGUGCAAACUGUGAGGAAGGUGGGGAUGACGUCAAAUCAUCACGGCCCUUACGUCCUGGGCCACACACGUGCUACAAUGGUAGGGACAGAGAGCAGCCACUACGCGAGUAGGAGCGAAUCUAUAAACCCUAUCUCAGUUCGGAUCGG
rnacentral:rRNA from 1 species